ACCUCUCAACCCCGCCAAAGGCUUUAUUAACUUUGGUUGUUUGGGCUUGGAUCAUGGUCUCUUGUUGUGACUUUUGUUAGAAACAACUGGACUGAAAUACAACAAGUUGGAUAAACCCUAUUGCGGCUUGACCUGAUGUUGUAAUUUACUCAUCGGGGACGCGAAAGGUUGUUUAAGGAACUUUAACAGAAACCCUUAUGUUGUUUAAAGUCUUUCGGGACUCUAUUCAAUACAU
rnacentral:misc_RNA from 1 species